rnacentral:lncRNA from 1 species
AAUCAGAACAUAACCCAAAAGCUUAUAUACUAAGUAACUUGUGCUACAUAAGCUUAAAUGGCUAGCUUCAGGAAUAUAUGUAAGCACUCCUCUAUAUUCAUUUCAAAAUUAAAAACUUAAUUUGCACACCGAUAUAUUCCAACACCAAAUGACAUGCAUCUCAUUUAGAUUUGCCUCAGUCUACCAUUCUGCACAUUUAUUUUCUUUCUUAGAAAACAAAAAGAACAUACGCAAACAAAGAAAAUGAACCUCAGAAACCAAACAUACAACAACAACAACAACAACAAAGCCUUUUCCCACUAAGUGGGGUCGGCUAUAUGAAUCCUAGAACGCCAUUGCGCUCGGUUUUGUGUCAUGUCCUCCGUUAGAUCCAAGUACUCUAAGUCUUUUCUUAGAGUCUCUUCCAAAGUUGUCCUAGGUCUUCCUCUACCCCUUCGGCACUGAACCUCUGUCCCGUAGUCACAUCUUCGAACCGGAGCGUCAGUCGGCCUUCUUUGCACAUGUUCAAAAUCACCGGAGCCGAUUUUCUCUCAUCUUUCCUACAAUUUCGGCUACUCCUACUUUACCUCGGAUAUCCUCAUUCCCAAUCUUAUCCUUUCUCGUGUGCCCACACAUCCCACGAAGCAUCCUCAUCUCCGCUACACCCAUUUUGUGUACGUGUUGAUGCUUCACCACCCAACAUUCUGUGCCAUACAACAUCGCUAGCCUUAUAUUGCCGUCCUAUAAAAUUUUCCCUUGAGCUUCAGUGGCCUACGACGGUCACACAACACGCCGGAUGCACUCUUUCCAUCCAGCUCGUAUUCUAUGGUUGAGAUCUCCAUCUAAUUCUCCGUUCUCUUGCAAGAUAGAUCCUAGGUAGCGAAAACGAUCGCUUUUUGUGAUCUUCGCUAGAUUGCUCCGGUCAUUAGUGUGGAUAAGUAUAUAAAUGGAUAGAGAUAUAGGAAAGCAAACACAAGAUGUACGUGGUUCACCCAGAUUGGCUACGUCCACGGAAUAGAAGAGUUCUCAUUAAUUGUGAAGGGUUUACACAAGUACAUAGGUUCAAGCUCUCAUUUAGUGAGUACAAGUGAAUGAUUUAGUACAAAUGACAUUAGGAAAUAUUGUGGGAGAAUGAUCUCGUAAUCACGAAACUUCUAAGUAUCGGAGUGUGGUGUCGUCUUGACUUGCCUUAUCUGUCUCAUAGGUAGAUGUGGCAUCUUCUCUGGAAGUACUCUUCCUCCAUCCAGGGGUGGUAUCUUUAACUGGUGGAGAUGCACAAGGUAAUGUAUCAAUUUCACUUGAAGCUUACUUGUAGUUUCAGGCUUGGUCAAGCGCGAUACAAACCAUGUGUAGUAGGAGUCCCCCAAGUCGCCGAGCUAGGGGGUCUGCUGAAAGAGGUGACAGACAAGGUAAGCAAUCAGAGCUCCGACUGAUUGUUCACCUUCUCCCCAUCUUGCAGCAGCAUGAAGGAUAAAGAGAAGAAAAAUGAGAAGAGAUGAUAUGAGAUACUUUUUGCUUUUGAAGAAGUAACUUUCCACAGGCUUAUUCUUGAACUGAGCUGGAGGGUUUUCUGGUUUCCUCCAGAGUAUAAGGCCGACUGAAGAAUUUGAGGGUCAAAACAAGUCCAUCAAAUCUAGAGUACGUUCCACCCUGCUGAUAUGGGAUACUUUUGCUUUUGACAGAGUAAUGAAUGUAUCGGCACGUGUGCUGUUACGCUUGUCUCCACAUGCUUCCUUGUAUCCUUCGCACUUGCCCUAUCUGUUCCUCAAGCAGAUGCGGAAUCUUCCCUGGAAACAUAAGAUGUUGAAGAUGAGUACUCGAGAGCAAUGCCAGGUAAGUAAUCAGGUAAGGGGUUCCAGGCAGUCAGUUCCUGGCUGGAAGCUUGAUUCCAAGUGCUGACUGAUUGCUCUCUUUCUCCUUGUCUUGCAGGUAAAAACAAGGCCAAAAGAAAAGACAGGAAAAAAGCAUGAUAUGGGAUACUCUUGCUUUUAACCCUGAUGAUGAUAUGAGAUAUUCUUGCUCUAGUAUAGCUUGUUUGCAGAGGUAUUAUCGGGGGAAAGAAAGCUGAAUAUUUCGAAAGGCUUCGUUGGGAGUGCCCUCUCAGAUAUGAUGAAGGGUUGAGCAUUUUUGCAGGUCUGCCUGUCCGUUGGGGAUGGAGGUCGACAUAUAUAGGAGUCUCCCUAACAACAAGUAGUAAUGCUAUUCCUUUACCCUGCUUGGUCAUAGCACGGUAGUGGGAGCUGCCAGUUUCACAUGUUUUAACUCUGUCAGAGCACUUUGAAAAAGUGGUCUGUGGUAUCUGGCUCUCGAGAUUCGGAGAACGAUGCCUCUUCGAUUUUUGAGAAAGCAAUCAUGCUGGGGGUAUGACUCUCGAGAUUCGGAGAGCAGUGUCUCUUCGAUUUUUGAGGAAGUAAUCAUGUUGGGAGUCUGGCUCUCGAGAUUCGGAGGGCGGUGCCUCUUCGAUUUUGGAGCAAGCAAUCUUGUUGGGAGUGUUGUCUCGAAUGUGAGUAAAGGUUGGGCAUGUUUGCUAGUCUACCUUGCCACGAAGCACAGAGGUUGACACACAGGGACUUUCCAAUUAUCCAGCAGUGGUACUGUUCCUUUACAGUUGUGGGUAAUAAUAUGGUAGCUAGACCUUCAAAAUUUAUGUGUCUAAACUUUUGUUAGUGCUGUUUCUUUGCUAUUCUUUUACCUUUCUUGGUCAGAGCGAUGUAGUGGGAGCUGCAAGCUUCACGUGCUCAACUUUGGCAGAGAACUUUGGCAAAGUUAUUUGUGGUACCCAUGAGCUAUUGUUGCGUGUGGGAAGUGGGUGAUUGAACAGUAAGAUUCAUGUGCUUUCUACUUCACCAGAAGUCUUCGACAGAAUGCCCAUAAUUUCUGCAAAGCUGAGUGUGCGUGUGACAGGUGUUGACAAGGCUAGAAAAGUAGGGCCUCUUCGAUUUCUGAGAUCGGCCCUCGUGGUCUCUGAGCAGCCCAGCUUUUGAGAAAGCGAGCGCCUCUUCGAUUGAUUCGGAGAACGAUGCCUCAUCGAUUUUUGAGAAAGCAAUCAUGCUGGGGGUCUGGCUCUCGAGAUUCGGGGAGCAGUGUCUCUUCGAUUUUUGAGAAAGUAAUCAUGUUGGGAGUCUGGCUCUCGAGAUUCGGAGGGCGGUGCCUCUUCGAUUUUGGAGCAAGCAAUCUUGUUGGGAGUGUUUUUUCUCGAAUGUGAGUAAAGGUUGGGCAUGUUUGCUAGUCUACCUUGCCACGAAGCACAGAGGUUGACACACAGGAACUUUCCAAUUAUCCAGCAAUGGUACUGUUCCUUUACCCUCUCUUUUAGAAAGUACCCUCUCUUCGAUUUUUAAGAAAGUAGUCAUGUUGGGAGUCUGGCUCUCGAGAUUCGGAGGACGGUGCCUCUUCAAUUUUGGAGCAAGCAAUCUUAUUGGGAGUGUUUUUCUCGAAUGUGAGUAAAGGUUGGGCAUGUUUGCUAGUCUACCUUGCCACGAAGCACAGAGGUUGACACACAGGGACUUUCCAAUUAUCCAGCAGUGGUACUGUUCCUUUACCCUUGUGGGUAAUAAUAUGGUAGCUAGACCUUCAAAAUUUAUGGGUCUAAACUUUGUUAGUGCUGUUUCUUUGCUAUUCUUUUACCCUUCUUGGUCAGAGCGAUGUAGUAGUGGAGCUGCAAGCUUCACGUGCUCAACUUUGGCAGAGAACUUUGGCAAAGUUAUCUGUGGUACCCAUGAGCUAUUGUUGCGUGUGGGAAGUGGGUGAUUGAACAGUAAGAUUCAUGUGUUUUCUACUUCCCCAGAAGUCUUUGACAGAAUGCCCAUAAUUUCCGCAAAACUGAGUGUGCGUGUGACAGGUGCUGACAAGGCUGGAAAAGGCUGGAAAAGUAGGUGCCUCUUCGAUUUCUGAUAUCGGCCCUCGUGGUCUCUGGGGAGCCCAGCUUUUGAGAAAGCGAGCGCCUCUUCGAUUUUUGAGAUCGGCCUUCGUGGUCUUUGAGCAGCCCAACUUUUGAGAAAGCAAACGCCUCUUCGAUUUCUGAGAUCAACCCUCGUGAUCUCUAAGCAGCCCAGCUUUUGAGAAAGCAAACGCCUCUUCGAUUUCUGAGCAGGCGCCUCUUCGAUUUCUGAAGCUUCGUCGAGUGCAGAUUUUUUAUAGGGGCUGGCAUUAAGUUCCAAAGCACACUUGAAUCUCCACCAGUAGAAGCUUCAUUCUUGCACUUCUAAGAUCUUGAUUUGUCCGACCUCUUCUCUCUUCAACACCUUUGAAAAUGUCUGGCCCCUCCGACCGUCGUUUUGACUUGAACCUUGUUGAAGAGGCAGCCCCGCCUUCUCCAGACAACAUAUGGCGCCCAUCCUUCGUCUCCCCUACUGGUCCUCUUACCGUUGGGGAUUCCGUGAUGAAGAAUGAUAUGACCGCUGCGGUGGUGGCCAGGAACCUUCUCACUCCCAAAGAUAACAGACUACUUUCCAAACGGUCUGAUGAGUUAGCUGUUAAAGAUUCGCUGGCUCUCAGUGUUCAGUGUGCAGGUUCUGUGUCUAAUAUGGCCCAACGCCUAUUUGCUCGAACCCGCCAAGUUGAAUCAUUGGCGGCUGAAGUGAUGAGUCUCAAACAGGAGAUUAGAGGGCUCAAGCAUGAGAAUAAACAGUUGCACCGGCUCGCACAUGACUAUGCUACAAACAUGAAGAGGAAGCUUGACCAGAUGAAGGAAACUGAUGGUCAGGUUUUACUUGAUCAUUAGAGAUUUGUGGGUUUGUUCCAAAGGCAUUUAUUGCCUUCGUCUUCUGGGGCUGUACCGCGUAAUGAAGCUCCAAAUGAUCAACCUCUGAUGCCUCCUCCUUCUAGGGUUCUGUCCAGUACUGAGGCUCCAAAUGAUCCCCCUCCGAUGCCUUCUCUUUCUGGGGCUCUACCGACUGCUGAGACUUCUCCUAAGCAACCUUUGUGAAGGCUCCCUCUUGUGUGCUUAUUUUGACUCAUGUAUAUGUACAUAUUUGUAGCUUAUCGGGGAUAUCAAUAAAUAAGCUUUCCUUCAUUUCAACGUAUUGUGUUAAAUACACCAAAGCCUUCUUCGCUAAGUUCUUUGAAUUUUCUUUUGUUAAAGCUUGUAUGUUGAAGCUUUCUGAGUGGAGCAUGUAGGUUGGGGUAGUGUUCUCUUAAUUUCCCGAAUGAGGAAAACUUCUCGGUUGGAGACUUGGAAAAUCCAAGUCACUGAGUGGGAUCGGCUAUAUGAAUCUUAGAACGCCAUUGUGCUCGAUCCUGUGUCAUGUCCUUCGUUAGAUCCAAGUACUCUAAGUCUUUUCUUAGAGUCUCUUCCAAAGUUUUCCUAGGUCUUCCUCUACCCCUUCGGCCCUGCACCUCUGUCCCAUAGUCGCAUCUUCUAAUCGGAACGUCAGUAGGCCUUCUUUGCACAUGUCCAAACCACCGUAACCGAUUUUCUCUCAUCUUUCCUUCAAUUUCGGCUACUCCUACUUUACCCCGGAUAUCCUCAUUCCUAAUCUUUUCCUUUCUCGUGUGCCCACACAUCCAACGAAGCAUCCUCAUCUCCGCUACACCCAUUUUGUGUACGUGUUGAUGUUUCACCGCCCAACAUUCUGUGCCAUACAGCAUCGCCGGCCUUAUUGCCGUCCUAUAAAAUUUUCCCUUGAGCUUCAGUGGCAUACGGCGGUCACACAACACGCCGGAUGCACUCUUCCACUUCAUCCAUCCAGCUUGUAUUCUAUGGUUGAGAUCUCCAUCUAAUUCUCCGUUCUUUUGCAAGAUAGAUCCUAGGUAACGAAAACGGUCGCUCUUUGGUAUUUCUUGAUCUCCGAUCCUCACCCCUAACUCGUUUUGGCCUCCAUUUGCACUGAACUUGCACUCCAUAUAUUCUGUCUUUGAUCGGCUUAGGCGAAGACCUUUAGAUUCCAACAUAAAUUUACCAAAAACAACUCAGCCUUGACUUCAGCCAGAAGGACAAAAUAACAUAUCAAAACAGAAUUUGAAUAUAUCAUUUUCCAAAUUACUUGAGGGUCAUAAUGUUAUUUCUUUUGUUUUUGUCAUUCAUACUUAUUCUGGAUCAAGUUACUCUUCCGCAUUUAGCGCAGUACAAAAUUGGAACCAUCGCAAAUAAGUCCUCUCAUCGUCUCUUUUAUUAAUGCCACACUCACCACACCAGGAGCAAACUCUUUUAUCCCUAAUUCUUACGACUGCCAAUCCAUCUUAAACAUAUAUGCCUUGCACAACAUUCCAUAUAAUAGGGUCCACAAAACUUGCCCUACCAAGUUUUAUAUAGGGAGGUGAUUUCCACACACCCUUUUUAGCGGGUUCAUAAAACUUGCCCUAUUUUCCUUUACAUAUACCUCUACUCAUGAACUGUAAUCUAACUCACUCCUGGGCAACAACCUGGUCCCUAUCCCAGUUUGACUAAACCUGCAUUCUAUUUUGAUCAGCUUUAGUCCUGUACAUUGUGGUGCCACUUUUAGCAAACAUGUUCCCGCGAAAGUACUUUAUGAUUAGUAAGCCUUUGUCUUUCAUGGAAAAUAGACUCUUUCUUUAGAUAAACCGAGAAUACAUAUUAAGUGCCCUUCUAACAUGUAUCUACA